AGAGUUUGAUCAUGGCUCAGAUUGAACGCUGGCGGCAGGCCUAACACAUGCAAGUCGAACGGUAACAGGAUGUGCUUGCACAUCGCUGACGAGUGGCGGACGGGUGAGUAAUGCUUGGGAACUUGCCUUUGCGAGGGGGAUAACAGUUGGAAACGACUGCUAAUACCGCAUAAUGUCUACGGACCAAACGGGGCUUCGGCUCCGGCGCAGAGAGAGGCCCAAGUGAGAUUAGCUAGUUGGUAAGGUAAAGGCUUACCAAGGCGACGAUCUCUAGCUGUUCUGAGAGGAAGAUCAGCCACACUGGGACUGAGACACGGCCCAGACUCCUACGGGAGGCAGCAGUGGGGAAUAUUGCACAAUGGGGGGAACCCUGAUGCAGCCAUGCCGCGUGUGUGAAGAAGGCCUUCGGGUUGUAAAGCACUUUCAGUUGUGAGGAAAAGUUAGUAGUUAAUACCUGCUAGCCGUGACGUUAACAACAGAAGAAGCACCGGCUAACUCCGUGCCAGCAGCCGCGGUAAUACGGAGGGUGCGAGCGUUAAUCGGAAUUACUGGGCGUAAAGCGCACGCAGGCGGUUUGUUAAGCUAGAUGUG
rnacentral:rRNA from 1 species